UUAGUUUGAUCCUGGUCAUAGCUGUUUCCUGACGGCACGUUUUAAGCAUGCAAGUCGAACGGUAGGGAAUGCUUGCAUUUCCGAGAGUGGCGAACGGGUGAGUAACACGUAGAUGAUCUACCUUUUAGUUGGGGAUAGCCCAUGGAAACAUGGAGUAAUACCGAAUAAUCUGUUUGAACUUUGGUUUAAAUAGGAAAGAAGCGUUUGCUUCGCUGAAAGAUGAGUCUGCGCACUAUUAGCUAGUUGGUGGGGUAAGAGCCUACCAAGGCAACGAUAGUUAGCCGACCUGGGAGGGUGAUCGGCCACAUUGGGACUGAGACACGGCCCAGACUCCUACGGGAGGCAGCAGCUAAGAAUCUUCCGCAAUGGACGAAAGUCUGACGGAGCGAUGCCGCGUGGAUGAAGAAUGCAGAGAUGUUGUAAGAUCCUUUUAUGAGUGAGGAAUAAUAGUACUAGGAAAUGAGUAUUAGAUGACGUUAGCUCAUGAAUAAGCUCCGGCCAAUUACGUGCCAGCAGCCGCGGUAACACGUAAGGAGCGAGCGUUGUUCGGAAUUAUUGGGCGUAAAGGGCGUGUAGGCGGUUAAUUAAGUCUUGGUUGAAAUACCGAUGCUCAACAUCGGAAGCGGACA
rnacentral:rRNA from 1 species